CAGCCUUUCCCACUUAAAGGUCUGCUGCGACGACCAAUGGCGGCAGGUUGCCUUCACGGAUCGAGACCAGGACUCGUGCACGACCGACUGGAUCAGUGACCACAUUUGGGUUCCGAUUGUUAUGAUUGCAAUAGUAAUCACGCUGGGUGUGCUGCUGACCUGGUGUUGCUGCAGGCGGUGUCGCCGUAAUCAGGGAGUGAUAAUCCAGUACGGAUUACCACAGAGCACCAUAAUAGUGGCUCAGCAACAGAACACGAAUGUUAUGCACGCGGGGUACGACCAGCCAUGAAGACCGGGUCAAACGGAGAUGAACGAAAAGUGUGGAACAUUUCUUAAAUCUCUUAAACAUCCCUGUGAAUAACGUUGCUUUAGACUUGUUAUUUGUUUCAUUUUUGUUAUUUCUAAUGAUAUGUUGUUUUCAUUACCAUCUCACAAUAUUUUAAAUGCGAUGA